rnacentral:rRNA from 1 species
UGGGGAAUAUUGGACAAUGGGCGAAAGCCUGAUCCAGCAAUACCGCGUGUGUGAAGAAGGCCCUAGGGUUGUAAAGCACUUUUGUUAGGGAGAACGGGUUUUAUAGUUAAUACCUAUAGAAUCUGAUGUUACCUAAAGAAUAAGCACCGGCUAACUCCGUGCCAGCAGCCGCGGUAAUACGGAGGGUGCAAGCGUUAAUCGGAAUUACUGGGCGUAAAGGGCGCGUAGGUGGUAUCUUAAGUUGGGUGUGAAAUCCCCGGGCUCAACCUGGGAAUUGCAUCCAAAACUGGGGUGCUAGAGUAUGGUAGAGGGUAGCGGAAUUUCUGGUGUAGCGGUGAAAUGCGUAGAUAUCAGAAGGAACAUCAAUGGCGAAGGCAGCUACCUGGGCCAAUACUGACGCUGAGGCGCGAAAGCAUGGGGAGCAAACAGG